AUCGCUUCUCGGCCUUUUGGCUAAGAUCAAGUGUAGUAUCUGUUCUUAUCAGUUUAAUAUCUGAUACGUCCUCUAUCCGAGGACAAUAUAUUAAAUGGAUUUUUGGAGCCAGGAGUUGCUCUGUCCACUCCGAAAAAAAAAAAAGAUUUUUCCCUACACUUUCUUUUAGUAAUUUCA
ensembl:snRNA U2 U2 spliceosomal RNA